AUAAAAAUAAAUAUUAUUGGUUAAACAGUUAAUGAUUUUGUUUCUUUUAAUUUUAUCAUUUUUAAGGUGAAAUUUUAAUUUUAAUUAAAUAGAUUUUUAUGAAGCUGUGAAAUUUAUUUUAUAAACAAGGAUUAGAUACCCUUUUAUUUUAAAUGUAAAUAUAAACCUGGGUAGUAAUAGUUAUGUUCUUGAAACCCAAAGAAUUUGGCGGUAUUUUAUUCUUUUUAGAGGAACCUGUCCUAUAAUUGAUAGUCCACGAUGAUAAUUUACUUAUUUUUGUAGUCAUUUUGUAUACCUCCGUCAUCAGAGUAUCUUUUUAGAGUUAAUAUUCUUAAUUUACAAAAUAUAGUAUGUCAGGUCAAGGUGCAAAUAAUAAAUAAGAAGAGAUGGGUUACAUUAAAUUUAUUUAUACGAAAUAUUAUCUUUAUUAUUAAUAUGAAGGUGGAUUUAAAAGUAAAAUUAUCUUCUUGUUAUUUUGAUUUUAGCACUAAAAUAUGCACACAUCGCCCGUCACUCUUAUUAUAAAAUAAGAUAAGUCGUAACAUAGUAGAGGUACCGGAAGGUGUCUCUAGUUAGUUA
rnacentral:rRNA from 1 species